rnacentral:rRNA from 1 species
GAUGAACGCUGGCGGCGUGCCUAAUACAUGCAAGUCGAGCGAACAGACGAGGAGCUUGCUCCUCUGACGUUAGCGGCGGACGGGUGAGUAACACGUGGAUAACCUACCUAUAAGACUGGGAUAACUUCGGGAAACCGGAGCUAAUACCGGAUAAUAUAUUGAACCGCAUGGUUCAAUAGUGAAAGACGGUUUUGCUGUCACUUAUAGAUGGAUCCGCGCCGCAUUAGCUAGUUGGUAAGGUAACGGCUUACCAAGGCGACGAUGCGUAGCCGAACUGAGAGGGUGAUCGGCCACACUGGAACUGAGACACGGUCCAGACUCCUACGGGAGGCAGCAGUAGGGAAUCUUCCGCAAUGGGCGAAAGCCUGACGGAGCAACGCCGCGUGAGUGAUGAAGGUCUUCGGAUCGUAAAACUCUGUUAUUAGGGAAGAACAAAUGUGUAAGUAACUAUGCACGUCUUGACGGUACCUAAUAAGAAAGCCACGGCUAACUACGUG